GAUGAACGCUGGCGGCGUGCCUAAUACAUGCAAGUCGAGCGAACAGACGAGGAGCUUGCUCCUCUGAUGUUAGCGGCGGACGGGUGAGUAACACGUGGAUAACCUACCUAUAAGACUGGGAUAACUUCGGGAAACCGGAGCUAAUACCGGAUAACAUGUUGAACCGCAUGGUUCAACAGUGAAAGACGGUCUUGCUGUCACUUAUAGAUGGAUCCGCGCCGCAUUAGCUAGUUGGUAAGGUAACGGCUUACCAAGGCAACGAUGCGUAGCCGACCUGAGAGGGUGAUCGGCCACACUGGAACUGAGACACGGUCCAGACUCCUACGGGAGGCAGCAGUAGGGAAUCUUCCGCAAUGGGCGAAAGCCUGACAGAGCAACGCCGCGUGAGUGAAGAAGGUCUUCGGAUCGUAAAACUCUGUUAUUAGGGAAGAACAAAUGUGUAAGUAACUAUGCACGUCUUGACGGUACCUAAUCAGAAAGCCACGGCUAACUACGUG
rnacentral:rRNA from 1 species